rnacentral:lncRNA from 1 species
AUGAUACUGGUCUCAUUUUAACUAUAGUGCUAUUUGGCACUAGUCUAAACUUCCAUAUAAAUCACUGUUUUGGAACAACAAAAUGGGGAGGGAGAAAAAUCACGGCCUGUUAGAUGAGUACCAAAACCACCAAACAGUAAUGAGAUGUUCUCAUCCUUGAUUCUCCCAGCCUCAAACAACACAGGUUACUUUUUUUUCCCCUUGCUCAGAAAGCACCUGUAAUUUAACAAACAGACUGCCUGCAGGUAUAGUGCAAUUACAAAUGCUCUAAUCAUUGUACGUACAUCUCUCUUGAUAUUGCAGCAUCCAUACUGGCUUUGUAAUCAUUAAUUUUUUGGCAGAUUGAAUGUGCUGUAUCGAUAUGUAUCUAUGUAAUUGUAUGUCUAUAGCUAAUUCACAUUUUGAAUAAUGUUAUUUUAUUUACUUUUUUAAGAGAGGAGAAUGUAAAUUUGUCAGUUUAUUUCUGACUAGGGAUAUUUUCUUUCUAUUUAGAAAAGAAGAAAAAAAAACCUUACUGUCAUACAGAACGGUACUAGCGUCAUGCUGUAUAAAAUCAUUUGCACAUUCCUGAGUAGAGGUAUACUGAUUAUAAGAUCCAAAGCAGUGGGAAGGGAGGCUGCAGGAACAGCAGAGAACAAUUCGGGACAAGAAGAAAACAGCAGGGUGCACCAGACGUAGUAAUCCCCUAAAACCAAAGGGAAAGCCGCCCGCUCCCACGCAGUAAAACUAGGAGUAUCCAGGAAUGAACAAACCCGAAAAGAACGUGAGCUGUUUUCCAAAACGGAGACCUCCUCAGAGGAUGAGGCCGGGCAUUUCCUGGGACAGCCUGUGUUAAGACCACGUGCCCCUUGCCCUAACAACUCACUGUAGUACUCUUCAUAGACACAUCUUGCAGCAUUUCUCUUAAUACUAUGCUUGUUUUUCUUUCUAAGCCACCACAAGCCAUAGUGAUAGGUUUGCCCUUUGGUACAAAAGGUGCAUUAAAACUGGUGGAAAAGGCUUACUGCAUUCUGGAUAACCUGUGUGCAUACUUUAUGAAAUCUCUUGUGUGGGGAAAAAAAUGCUUUUUACAAUUUGACCUAAUUAUAUGCAUUGUAAAAUAAACACCAUUAUUUCAAACAAAACACCUAUCUUUUUACAAUAUGUUUUAUUUCUGUUUGAAUUCUGUUGUUACAAUGUUAGUGUUUUAAAAUGUGAUGGAAAAUAUAAUGCUUCUAAGGAGGAAAGCCAGUGGAAUGAAUGUUUAAAAGAUCUUCAUGUGUUUACGGUCUGCAGAAGGAUUUUUGUGAUGAGAGGGGAUUUUUGAAAAAUCUAGAGAAGUAGCAUAUGGAAAAUUAUAAUGUGUUUGUGUGUAUAUGUGUGUGUGUGUUUUACAAAGAUUUCUGCUCUGUUUUUAGCCAGAAACUCUAAAAACUAAAAUAAUAACAAAGAAAAAUAAAUAAAAGAGAGACAGA